rnacentral:rRNA from 1 species
GACGAACGCUGGCGGCGUGCUUAACACAUGCAAGUCGAACGGAGUGGCGAACGGGUGAGUAACGCGUCAUCAACCUGCCCGUCAAUGGGGGCCAACAGUUGGAAACGACUGCUAAUACCGCAUACUGAAGGAGGGGAUUGGGUCUGAUUAGCUAGUUGGAGGGGUAACGGCCCACCAAGGCGACGAUCAGUAGCCGGGCUGAUGGGAUGAACGGCCACAUCGGGAACGGGACACGGCCCAGACCCCUACGGGAGGAAGGAGUGAGGAAUAUUGUUGAAUGGGCGUUAGCCUGAACAAGCCAAGUAGCGUGAAGGAUGAAUGUCUAUGGGUCGUAUACUUCUUUGAUAGAAGAAUAUGUAUUAUAUGAAUAAGGAUCGGCUAACUCCGUGCCAGCAGCCGCGGUAAUAC